rnacentral:rRNA from 1 species
AGUGAACGCUGGCGGUAGGCCUAACACAUGCAAGUCGAACGGCAGCACAGUAAGAGCUUGCUCUUACGGGUGGCGAGUGGCGGACGGGUGAGGAAUACAUCGGAAUCUACUUUUUCGUGGGGGAUAACGUAGGGAAACUUACGCUAAUACCGCAUACGACCUACGGGUGAAAGCAGGGGAUCUUCGGACCUUGCGCGAUUGAAUGAGCCGAUGUCGGAUUGGCUAGUUGGCGGGGUAAAGGCCCACCAAGGCGACGAUCCGUAGCUGGUCUGAGAGGAGGAUAGCCCACACUGGAACUGAGACACGGUCACGACGACUACGGGAGGCAGCAGUGGGGAAUAUUGGACAAUGGGCGCAAGCCUGAUCCAGCCAUACCGCGUGGGUGAAGAAGGCCUUCGGGUUGUAAAGCCCUUUUGUUGGGAAAGAAAAGCAGCAGGUUAAUACCCAGCUGUUCUGACGGUACCCAAAGAAUAAGCACCGGCUAACUUCGUG